rnacentral:rRNA from 1 species
GUACACAAAAAUGCACAUAUUGUGAGCUCGAUGAGUAGGGCGGGACACGUGGUAUCCUGUCUGAAUAUGGGGGGACCAUCCUCCAAGGCUAAAUACUCCUGACUGACCGAUAGUGAACCAGUACCGUGAGGGAAAGGCGAAAAGAACCCCGGCGAGGGGAGUGAAAAAGAACCUGAAACCGUGUACGUACAAGCAGUGGGAGCCUCUUUAUGGGGUGACUGCGUACCUUUUGUAUAAUGGGUCAGCGACUUAUAUUCUGUAGCAAGGUUAACCGAAUAGGGGAGCCGAAGGGAAACCGAGUCUUAACUGGGCGUUAAGUUGCAGGGUAUAGACCCGAAACCCGGUGAUCUAGCCAUGGGCAGGUUGAAGGUUGGGUAACACUAACUGGAGGACCGAACCGACUAAUGUUGAAAAAUUAGCGGAUGACUUGUGGCUGGGGGUGAAAGGCCAAUCAAACCGGGAGAUAGCUGGUUCUCCCCGAAAGCUAUUUAGGUAGCGCCUCGUGAAUUCAUCUCCGGGGGUAGAGCACUGUUUCGGCAAGGGGGUCAUCCCGACUUACCAACCCGAUGCAAACUGCGAAUACCGGAGAAUGUUAUCACGGGAGACACACGGCGGGUGCUAACGUCCGUCGUGAAGAGGGAAACAACCCAGACCGCCAGCUAAGGUCCCAAAGUCAUGGUUAAGUGGGAAACGAUGUGGGAAGGCCCAGACAGCCAGGAUGUUGGCUUAGAAGCAGCCAUCAUUUAAAGAAAGCGUAAUAGCUCACUGGUCGAGUCGGCCUGCGCGGAAGAUGUAACGGGGCUAAACCAUGCACCGAAGCUGCGGCAGCGACACUAUGUGUUGUUGGGUAGGGGAGCGUUCUGUAAGCCUGUGAAGGUGGCCUGUGAGGGUUGCUGGAGGUAUCAGAAGUGCGAAUGCUGACAUAAGUAACGAUAAAGCGGGUGAAAAGCCCGCUCGCCGGAAGACCAAGGGUUCCUGUCCAACGUUAAUCGGGGCAGGGUGAGUCGACCCCUAAGGCGAGGCCGAAAGGCGUAGUCGAUGGGAAACAGGUUAAUAUUCCUGUACUUGGUGUUACUGCGAAGGGGGGACGGAGAAGGCUAUGUUGGCCGGGCGACGGUUGUCCCGGUUUAAGCGUGUAGGCUGGUUUUCCAGGCAAAUCCGGAAAACCAAGGCUGAGGCGUGAUGACGAGGCACUACGGUGCUGAAGCGACAAAUGCCCUGCUUCCAGGAAAAGCCUCUAAGCAUCAGGUAACAUCAAAUCGUACCCCAAACCGACACAGGUGGUCAGGUAGAGAAUACCAAGGCGCUUGAGAGAACUCGGGUGAAGGAACUAGGCAAAAUGGUGCCGUAACUUCGGGAGAAGGCACGCUGAUAUGUAGGUGAAGCGACUUGCUCGUGGAGCUGAAAUCAGUCGAAGAUACCAGCUGGCUGCAACUGUUUAUUAAAAACACAGCACUGUGCAAACACGAAAGUGGACGUAUACGGUGUGACGCCUGCCCGGUGCCGGAAG